rnacentral:lncRNA from 10 species
ACCACACCCGGCCUAUUUUUUAUUUAUUUUUUAUUUUUUAUUUUUGAGACAGGGUCUGGCUCUGUCACCCCAGGCGUGACAGUGGCUUUUGGUCUCAAGCAAUCCUCCCACCUCAGCCUCCUGGUAGCUGGGACUAUAGGUGCCUGCCACCGCACCCAGCUAAUUUUUUAUUUUAUUUUUAGUAGAGACAAGGUUUCACCAUGUUGGCCAGACUGGUCUCAAACUCCUGGGCUCAAGCGAUCCUCCUGCCUCAGCUUCCCAAAGUGCUAGGGUUACAGGCUUGUGCCACCUCACCCAGCCUCAAAUGUCAGCUAUUAACGAAUCCUUCCAGCUUCAAUAAGUCUAGGAUUUGGCCAGCAUUUUUAUGCCUAAAGCAGAAUCAUGAGGCAGGCCCAGUCCUGAGGGGCAGCCUUAUUGCCAAAGCUGACCUGCACGCCUGCUGAGCCCCCUGAGAAUGCUGCCCUCACAUCAGGUGGUCACUCUUCCACCUGGCAAGAUGGAGAGAGCUAAGCCCAGGGUCCAAGCUUGGCCACACCAAUAGGACUCAAAACUGAAGGGUUUUUGUCAGAACUCCUGCUUCUACAGGGGAAGCCGGCAGGACCACUCUGAUGCCUUCUGGGUCCCCUGUUUUCUCCCUUCCUUUCCUAGAGGUGUGUCAGAUUUCAAGGCUCCAAACCAGGGACUCUAGGCAGGGCAAGUAACUCCACUCAGAUCUAGAGGUGACCUGAUUUCUCUCACCAGACAGGUCUGGUGACUCUCUCUUAAUGGGCUACAUCCUGGGAAAGGAACUUCUUUCUUUUCUCUCAGCCUCUGACUUUUGUCUGUUAGCUCUGGACCACUCGUGGUUGUCCCAUAUGGGGAGAAGUGAGCUGCCCUAAGGUAGUGUGUCGGUGUAAGGAUUUUAAACCAGAUGCUGUGCAUUGGAAUAUCUCUAAAUCAGAUGCUUACCAGGGCUAAAUGUGAGCUGGCUUAGGCACCAGCUUCUUUU